rnacentral:rRNA from 1 species
CGAACGCUGGCGGCGUGCUUAACACAUGCAAGUCGAACGGAAAGGCCCUGCUUUUGUGGGGUGCUCGAGUGGCGAACGGGUGAGUAACACGUGAGUAACCUGCCCUUGACUUUGGGAUAACUUCAGGAAACUGGGGCUAAUACCGGAUAGGAGCUCCUGCUGCAUGGUGGGGGUUGGAAAGUUUCGGCGGUUGGGGAUGGACUCGCGGCUUAUCAGCUUGUUGGUGGGGUAGUGGCUUACCAAGGCUUUGACGGGUAGCCGGCCUGAGAGGGUGACCGGCCACAUUGGGACUGAGAUACGGCCCAGCCUCCUACGGGAGGCAGCAGUGGGGAAUAUUGCACAAUGGGCGGAAGCCUGAUGCAGCAACGCCGCGUGCGGGAUGACGGCCUUCGGGUUGUAAACCGCUUUCGCCUGUGACGAAGCGUGAGUGACGGUAAUGGGUAAAGAAGCACCGGCUAACUACGUG